rnacentral:rRNA from 1 species
GUUUGAUCCUGGCUCAGGACGAACGCUGGCGGCGUGCUUAACACAUGCAAGUCGAACGGAAAGGCCCUGCUUUUGUGGGGUGCUCGAGUGGCGAACGGGUGAGUAACACGUGAGUAACCUGCCCUUGACUUUGGGAUAACUUCAGGAAACUGGGGCUAAUACCGGAUAGGAGCUCCUGCUGCAUGGUGGGGGUUGGAAAGUUUCGGCGGUUGGGGAUGGACUCGCGGCUUAUCAGCUUGUUGGUGGGGUAGUGGCUUACCAAGGCUUUGACGGGUAGCCGGCCUGAGAGGGUGACCGGCCACAUUGGGACUGAGAUACGGCCCAGACUCCUACGGGAGGCAGCAGUGG